rnacentral:lncRNA from 1 species
CACAGGUGAAGAAAUACACGCUCGGUUUCUUCUGGGUGCAGCUCUGAGAAACCAGAAGGAGAAGAGCUGGAUGAGGAUGAAGAUGAGGAUGGAGAGAUGGGGUGUUUAUGCAUUCACAGCGGAGGAGAGAUGACACCGACAACUCUUCCAGCUCCUUAUCAAUGGAUGACUCUAUUGGUCCGGACCUCAAGAAGGACCUCAGCCCUGGACACCCGAUUAGAAUCAAUGAGAAGAGAAAUCCAUGAAAGAGCCUCUUCAACAGUGUCCACACCAUCAUCUCCAAGAGACAAACUCACCAGCUUCUGUAUUAUAAACAGAGGAAGACAGGAACACUUUACAAUCAGGUCCCAUUAUUUAGGUUGGCCAUAAAAAAGUACAUCCAAGAGGUUGUUAUCGCAGAAUAAAGCCUGACAGUUUUAUCGGCUUAUCAAUGUGAAGCUGAGGGCUAUUGUGUAAGACUGAGGGGCUUUAUUCUGCGAAAACAACCCUUCUGGAUGGACUUUAUUCUACUUAUUACAUGGCUACUUGCCACAAAACAUUGUUCUAAGCUGUAAUCGUUUAUUAAUUCUUUAAUUACAUGCAAAGCUGACAGAAAAGAAAACAGCUGAUGGAGUAUACACUAACCUGCACAUUAUUCAGACACACGAUAGCGCCAAACAGACAAAAACGCAAAUCUGACAGAAGCUAAAACAGCUGAUGGAGUAUACACUAACCUGCACAUUAUUCAGACACAAGAUGGCGCCAAACAGCCAUACACAAAGCUGACAAAAAUGAAAACAGCUGAUGGAGUAUACACUUACCUGAGCAUUAUUCAGACACAUGAUAGCGCCAAACAGACAAAAACGCAAAUCUGACAGAAGCUAAAACAGCUGAUGGAGUAUACACUAACCUGCACAUUAUUCAGACACAAGAUGGCGCCAAACAGCCAAACACAAAGCUGACAAAAAUGAAAACAGCUGAUGGAGUAUACACUAACCUGAGCAUUAUUCAGACACAUGAUAGCGCCAAACAGACAAAAACGCAAAUCUGACAGAAGCUAAAACAGCUGAUGGAGUAUACACUAACCUGCACAUUAUUCAGACACAAGAUGGCGCCAAACUUUCAAAAACACAAAACUGACACAAACUAAAACAGCUGAUGGAGUAUACACUAACCUGCGCAUUAUUCAGACACAAGAUGGAGGUUUGACAGUAAAAAUGUAACAUGAACAGCGUUAAUUUAACUCAGUAAUAUUAAAUAUUUUUCCAGACCCAAAACUGGAUUUACAGUACAAUGAAGAAAAGUGUAUGGGGCAGGACUUGAUUUUAAGUGGUUGUGACUGAAUUAUGCACAAAAAUAGUCAAUUCUGAAUUCUUGCUGACUUAAAAUAGCAGGUACACACACCUCAGCACACCCUGUUUCUCCUACAAAAACAUAAAGCACUUACUGUCCUCACACCCAUAUGAAAGAGUCAUCUUUAAGUGCAUGUAUGAACAGCCUCUUAAUCUACAGGGCAGGAUUCCAGACUCACCUUUAUGGAGAACUUAUAGGGAAAUAAACUUGCGCUGACUUGUUUACACCUCUUGGUUUAUUUUACAAAUCUAGAAAAGUCUGGAUAGAGGUAAAUGAUAGUAGUAAAAGGACCUGUGCUUGUGAUUUUAUAAGCUGUGUUUACAACUGAAAAUGGUCAUAAUUUAAUGUGUUUUGUUGUUUGUUUGCAAUCUUUUGAUAAUGGUUGUUGAAAUUGUUGAAAAUUAUUUAUUACAAAAUUAUGAACCAAAUAAUAGUAAUAAUAAAAAAAAAAAUAAUAAUAGUAAUAAUAAUUACAAAAUGACAUUGUCAAUGCAUAAUACAGGGGUUGAUUUGGACUAUUUUGUUGUCUGUAUGUGAAACUUUUCUAGUGCAUUGUUGUGUAAACAGAUUUUAAGUUUAGUAAUAACUACUACAGUUGCUUGUACUUUAAAUAAGUGAAUAGAACAAACUAAUGUUACUGUAAAUAUUAGGGGGUAUUUUAAUGACACCACUGUAAGUUUAAAACUGAAAAUAAAAUACAUAUUAUUUUAUUAAUUUACACUUUUGCGGCCUAAAAUAAGAAGCUAACUUGUUUUUAAGCGACAGGUUUUUAAAAUAAUACUCUCUAGAAAUGCUGUUUUUAAUGCAAAUGUUGGGCCAAGUUUUGAUAAAGCCAACAUUGGAUUUUAUUUUUUCAAUUCAAUUUAAAUUAUAUUUUUUUAAACCAAUGAUUGGGUUUUUGUUAAAGCAACCCAGCAUUUGUUUAGAACUGUCAUUGUCUUCAUGUACACUACAAAAACGCAGUUUUGUGAAAAUAUUGAUGUUUUAUGUUAAUCCAAAAUAUUGUUUAUAAAAUAUAUAGUUUUUAUAAAGUUGCAAAACAUUUU